rnacentral:rRNA from 1 species
GCUUAGCCCUAAACACAGAUAAUUACAUAAACAAAAUUAUUUGCCAGGAGUACCUAC